CGCCAGUCGCAUUGCCGAGUAGCUAUGUGUGGAAAGGAUAACCGCUGAAAGCAUCUAAGCGGGAAGCCCCACCCAAGAUUAGGUCUCCCUGAUUAUUUAAUAAUCCUAAAGAUCCCUCGAAGACUACGAGGUUGAUAGGCUAGGUGUGGAAGUGCAGCAAUGUAUGAAGCUAACUAGUACUAAUUGAUCGUGAGGCUUGACCAU
rnacentral:rRNA from 1 species